CGUGGAGACAGGUGGUGCAUGGCUGUCGUCAGCUCGUGUCGUGAGAUGUUGGGUUAAGUCCCGCAACGAGCGCAGCCCUUACCCCUUGUUGCCAUCAGGUCAUGCUGGGCACUCUAGGGGAACUGCCCCGGUCAACGGGGAGGAAGGUGGGGACGACGUCAAGUCCUCAUGGCCUUUAUGCCCAGGGCUACACACGUGCUACAAUGGGCGGCACAAAGGGCAGCGACGCCGCGAGGUGUAGCAAAUCCCAAAAAACCGCUCUCAGUUCGGAUCGGAGUCUGCAACUCGACUCCGUGAAGUUGGAAUCGCUAGUAAUCGUGGAUCAGCAUGCCACGGUGAAUACGUUCCCGGGCCUUGUACACACCGCCCGUCACACCACGAAAGUCUGCUGUACUCGAAGUCGCUGAG
rnacentral:rRNA from 1 species